rnacentral:rRNA from 1 species
GUCUGUAUGAAGUUAUAUAGAGUCUAACCUGCCCAUUGAAUAAUUUUAAAAGGCCGCAGUAUAUUAACUGUGCAAAGGUAGCAUAAUCAUUAGUUUUUUAAUUGAAGGCUUGUAUGAAGGGUUGGACAAAGAAUAAUCUGUUUCUAUUUUUAUUUUUGAAUUUAACUUUUAAGUGAAAAGGCUUAAUUGAGUUUAAGGGACGAUAAGACCCUAUAAAUCUUAAUAUUAAAUUAUUUUUAGUUAAUUAAUAAUUGUAAAUAUAAUAAUAAAAUAUUAAAUAUUAUGUUGGGGUGACAAGAAUAUAAUAAAUAACUGUUCUAAAAUUAAAACAAAAUUAUUUGUAAAAAAAAAUGAUCCUUUAUAAAGAUUAAAAGUUCAAGUUACUUUAGGGAUAACANCGUUAUUUUUUUUGAGAGUUCUUAUCNAAAAAAAAGUUUGCGACCUCGAUGUUGAAUUAAAUUUUCUUUGUGGUGCAACCGUU